CACAGUUCCCAUUGAACCUCCUCUCCUCAAACUUCCCAUGCGCAGCAACCUUGUUUGCUUGCGGAGCUUCACUCCCCUCCUCUUGAGUUGCUUGGCUUGCAAGGGAAAGGUCUCCCUUCUUUGUAAACAGCCCAAUGGAGCCUUGCUCCUUCUGAAUCCGUGCACACACAUCCUCAAGAUCAGGUAGAUUGUCCUCCCUAAGCAGGUGCUGGAUGAGACCGUUGUAAGCCGGGUUCAGCGUGAGG
rnacentral:lncRNA from 1 species